UACGUAGGGUGCAAGCGUUGUCCGGAAUUAUUGGGCGUAAAGAGCUCGUAGGCGGUUUGUCGCGUCUGCUGUGAAAACUGGAGGCUCAACCUCCAGCCUGCAGUGGGUACGGGCAAACUAGAGUGCGGUAGGGGGAGAUUGGAAUUCCUGGUGUAGCGGUGGAAUGCGCAGAUAUCAGGAGGAACACCGGUGGCGAAGGCGGGUCUCUGGGCAGUAACUGACGCUGAGGAGCGAAAGCGUGGGGAGCGAACAGG
rnacentral:rRNA from 1 species